rnacentral:rRNA from 1 species
AUUGAACGCUGGCGGCAGGCCUAACACAUGCAAGUCGAACGAGUGGCGGACGGGUGAGUAAUGUCUGUGAAACUGCCUGAUGGAGGGGGAUAACUACUGGCAACUGUCGCUAAUACCGCAUACCAUCAGAUGUGCCCAGAUGGGAUUAGCUAGUUGGUGGGGUAACGGCUCACCAAGGCGACGAUCCCUAGCUGGUCUGAGAGGAUGACGAGACAAACUGGAACGGAGAAACGGGCAAGAAGCCGACGGGAGGAAGCAGUGGGGAAUAUUGCACAAUGGGGGCAAGCCGGAUGCAGCCAUGCCGCGUGUAUGAAGAAGGCCGUCGGGUUGUAAAGUACUGUCAGCGGGGAGGCGUUACCCGCAGAAGAAGCACCGGCUAACUCCGUGCCAGCAGCCGCGGUAAUAC